AAAAUUAAAAGGACGCGGUAACCUUGACCGUGAUAAUGUAGCAUAAUCAUUCGCCAUUUAAUUGAUGGAUAGUAUGAAUGGUUGAACGAAUAUUUCACUGUCUUAAAAAGAAACACCAAAAAAUUAGAAUAAUAGUAAAGAUACUAUUUUAGAUUGUAAGACGAAAAGACCCUAUAGAGCUUAACUAUAAUCUCUAUGUAAAAAAAAGAAAAUAUUUCUGCUAAUAAAGAGAUUGGUAGUUUAGUUGGGGCGACUAUCUUUUAAAAAAAACAAAGAUAAGCAAAGUAAAUAUAAAACUUAUUGUAUAAUUAAUUUAUUUAACAAUUAUAAAAAUAGGCUAUAAUGACCCGUUAUAUUUUAAUAAAAGAAAUAACGAUCAAUAAAUAAAAGCUACCUUAGGGAUAACAGGAUAAUUUUAUUUUAGAGAUCUAAUCGAAAAUAAAGUUUGUCACCUCUAUGUUGAAUUAAGA
rnacentral:rRNA from 1 species